rnacentral:rRNA from 1 species
GACGAACGCUGGCGGCGUGCCUAACACAUGCAAGUCGAGCGAAUGAAGUUCCUUCGGGAACGGAUUUAGCGGCGGACGGGUGAGUAACACGUGGGCAACCUGCCUCAUAGAGGGGAAUAGCCUUCCGAAAGGGAGAUUAAUACCGCAUAAGAUUGUAGUACCGCAUGGUACAGCAAUUAAAGGAGCAAUCCGCUAUGAGAUGGGCCCGCGGCGCAUUAGCUAGUUGGUGAGGUAACGGCUCACCAAGGCGACGAUGCGUAGCCGACCUGAGAGGGUGAUCGGCCACAUUGGGACUGAGACACGGCCCAGACUCCUACGGGAGGCAGCAGUGGGGAAUAUUGCACAAUGGGGGAAACCCUGAUGCAGCAACGCCGCGUGAGUGAUGACGGCCUUCGGGUUGUAAAGCUCUGUCUUCAGGGACGUUAAUGACGGUACCUGAGGAGGAAGCCACGGCUAACUACGUG